rnacentral:lncRNA from 1 species
AGAAUACGUGAAGGGAUUCAAUUGCUUUUAUUCAGCUUACUUUCUCUGUUACAAGCACAGUAUAUAUAACCAAAUUUACAAAGGCUCCCUUUUCCUGAUCCUAUAGUUUCGGACUUAUAUAUGGAAGGCUAUUUCUAUUAGAAUACAAUCACAUGUUUACGGGGAUUCUAGGAUAUAUUUUACAGCUAACAUCAGAGAUACAAUAGGACUCAAAUACUGGAAUUCCAACUUGGAGAUAAUUGCUUUAGACUUAUCAACA